UGGGGAAUAUUGCACAAUGGGCGCAAGCCUGAUGCAGCCAUGCCGCGUGUGUGAAGAAGGCCUUCGGGUUGUAAAGCACUUUCAGCGGGGAGGAAGGCGAUAAGGUUAAUAACCUUGUCGAUUGACGUUACCCGCAGAAGAAGCACCGGCUAACUCCGUGCCAGCAGCCGCGGUAAUACGGAGGGUGCAAGCGUUAAUCGGAAGUACUGGGCGUAAAGCGCACGCAGGCGGUCUGUCAAGUCGGAUGUGAAAUCCCCGGGCUUAACCUGGGAACUGCAUUCGAAACUGGCAGGCUAGAGUCUUGUAGAGGGGGGUAGAAUUCCAGGUGUAGCGGUGAAAUGCGUAGAGAUCUGGAGGAAUACCGGUGGCGAAGGCGGCCCCCUGGACAAAGACUGACGCUCAUGUGCGAAAGCGUGGGGAGCAAACAGG
rnacentral:rRNA from 1 species